UACGGAGGGGACUAGCGUUGUUCGGAAUUACUGGGCGUAAAGCGCACGUAGGCGGAUUUGUAAGUCAGGGGUGAAAUCCCGGGGCUCAACCUCGGAACUGCCUUUGAUACUGCAAAUCUCGAGUCCGGAAGAGGUGAGUGGAAUUCCUAGUGUAGAGGUGAAAUUCGUAGAUAUUAGGAAGAACACCAGUGGCGAAGGCGGCUCACUGGUCCGGUACUGACGCUGAGGUGCGAAAGCGUGGGGAGCAACAG
rnacentral:rRNA from 1 species